rnacentral:ncRNA from 1 species
UAAUGAGGUUGGCAAACUUCCGGUGACGGUAGGACGCAAAGCUGUAAGUCUACUGGAGAUUAUUAUUUAGUAAUGACUCCGAGUCCAAAGAUGGACUUUGUAUAUGAUAGAUGGUUUGGCUGCAAGA